rnacentral:rRNA from 1 species
UACGGAGGAUGCAAGCGUUAUCCGGAUUUAUUGGGUUUAAAGGGUGCGCAGGUUGUUUGAUAAGUCAGUGGUGAAAGUCUGUCGCUUAACGGUAGGAUUGCCAUUGAUACUGUUAGACUUGAAUAUGGAUGAGGUAGGCGGAAUGUAUAGUGUAGCGGUGAAAUGCAUAGAUAUUACACAGAACACCGACUGCGAAGGCAGCUUACUAAUCCAUCAUUGACGCUGAGGCACGAAAGCGUGGGGAUCAAACAGGA